GACGAACGCUGGCGGCGUGCCUAAUACAUGCAAGUUGAGCGAUGAAGAUUGGUGCUUGCACCAAUUUGAAGAGCAGCGAACGGGUGAGUAACGCGUGGGGAAUCUGCCUUUGAGCGGGGGACAACAUUUGGAAACGAAUGCUAAUACCGCAUAACAACUUUAAACAUAAGUUUUAAGUUUGAAAGAUGCAAUUGCAUCACUCAAAGAUGAUCCCGCGUUGUAUUAGCUAGUUGGUGAGGUAAGGGCUCACCAAGGCGAUGAUACAUAGCCGACCUGAGAGGGUAAUCGGCCACAUUGGGACUGAGACACGGCCCAAACUCCUACGGGAGGCAGCAGUAGGGAAUCUUCGGCAAUGGACGAAAGUCUGACCGAGCAACGCCGCGUGAGUGAAGAAGGUUUUCGGAUCGUAAAACUCUGUUGGUAGAGAAGAACGUUGGUGAGAGUGGAAAGCUCAUCAAGUGACGGUAACUACCCAGAAAGGGACGGCUAACUACGUG
rnacentral:rRNA from 1 species